rnacentral:misc_RNA from 1 species
UAGAGUUUUCAAAACUCCCAACCCAUGUUAACUUACCUAUGUUGCCUCGGCGGCAGCCUACCCUGUACCUACCCUGUAACGGGUUACCCGGGAGCGGCCCCGCCGGUGGACUUUUUAACUCUUGUUAUUUUAUGUAAUCUGAGAGUCUUAUUUUAAAUAAGUCA